GGGGCGGCACGGCGGGCGGCGAGGCGGGCGAUGUCGGAGACUGGCGGGUCGGGGAGGCAGGUGUAGAUGUACGGAAGGUGCUGCUCCGCGUCCAUGGCCGCCGGCUAGGGUUUCGGGCGGAGAGCGAGCGACGAGUGAGGAGCGAAGUGUGUGUGACUGAUUGGCGGCGGUGGCGAGGAGAUGUAGGGUUUGGUCGGUGGUGUUGUCUGCUUCGGGCGGGCCAAAU
rnacentral:lncRNA from 1 species